ensembl:lncRNA
AUGUCUUGCUCAGCGGCACCAAGGACAUAUUUCAUUUCCCCUUCAAUGAAAUGCUGGCUUUUGAAAUCCAAUCUUCUCUCGAGUCCCCGUAGGCCGUGUUGGUGCCACAGAGCUACAAUACAGAGCGUCGAUCUGGUGGGUCGCUCAGAUGUGACCCGCUCUGGCUCGUCAGGGGAAACGCUGCUCAACAAACGCAGUUCCCACAGGAAGUGGAGAGGGGACAAAAAAGAUAGAGGGGAAGCGUGUCAAACAAGGAGAGUGACAGCAGCCAAACAGAAAACACUCAUGCGGGGAAGAAAACGGCACGAGUACAUUAGAGAAACCCGCCGCCUCCCCGCCAGCCCCAUUUGAUGAAAAGUGACGAUGGAAAGCUCUGACAAAUAGGACUCGAUCCCGCUUCCCCUGGGCUCUCACCGAGCUGCAGGCUCACUCGCCGGCCCGUGGGCCUGUUGCUCCAUUUGGAGGAGAAGGAGGGCUAUCACGAGCCUCGCCGGGCUUAGAUGUGUGUGAGACGAGAAGUCGGGGCAAAGAUUUGGGAUUUGGUGCUGUGGCGCCCGUCGAGGAUGCCCGGGCUAAUAAACAACGUGGGGAUUUGACAGCACAAAACAAACGGCUGCUCUUUGAAACACUCGGGGUGUGAGGGCGCAGCAUCGAAGGGUAUUUUCAUUUAUUUCCAGCUAAUGAUCCACCUACAAGAAUAUGUUUUUCCUCUUUUGACUGUUUGCUGGAAUAUUGCUUUGCUAAUUGGGCCACAGAUGACAAAGAGCUCUACAAAGUUUCUCUGAAGUUUGUCAAGCAAAAUACAAAUAUCUGCUUCAAACAGCGCACUUUACACCGAUGCCCCACUGUCAGGGCUUUAAGAAUAAUUCAAGGGGAACUGGUCGUAAUUAGGUUGCGCUGAAUGAAGGUAGAGCUGCAUUAAAAUGUGACAUUUCACUGAUCGCUAUAAGGAACUUUCUCCUCGGAGGAUGGAGUUGGCUUGAAGGUGCCUGAUUUGAAAACUUUACCUUAGAAACCAAAAGAAAACACAACAAACAAGGCUCAUUAUAAAAAAGGAAGCCUUCAUCUUUUGCUCCAACAUGUAUAAAAAACAAAACAACAAAGACUGUAGGAACAGGAAAACAUGUCUAAAAGUAUAUGGACACCCAUACUCAAAACACCCUUUGUGUUUUUACUUUUAUAGAUAGGCAAUUUUUUGUUCCUUGGAAUCCAAAGUAACUAAAUUAAGAUGAGAGACAAAAAUAUGUAGCCACAGCGAUCUUUUUACAUCUGAAUGUGACAGAAACAGUCUUCCAGUUUCAUGCAGAACGGUUUACUGCUCUGUAAAGACGUGUAAAGCUCAUGGCGUCACCCACAGUCACAGAAAUGGGUUUCCAACAUGAUUUAGAGCAAGUUGAUUGGUCUGUAUCUAUAAGCGAUGACAUCACCAUUAAAGGAAGAAACAAACAGCGAUGUACAAACUGUCCUCUUUAUCUUCAGUUAAGGAACGACAUCCCCUUUCAUAUUAUGGUCUCGUGUUUUGAAGCCCCAUCUUUGUGGAUGGAACUAGAAGUGACCAUAUUUAGAUGAAUAAUUGAAGUAUGUUAUAACAAUCCAGGUUUUUUAUAGUAGUUGUAAUGGGAGAAACUAUCCAGAAAGACCAAAACCUUUUACUGUAGCAGCCUGUAAACUUGUUUGUUUCUGCUGGAAAUUUAGACAUUUUAAAAUGGGAGUCUAUUGGGAAUUAAUCCGUUUUGGAGGCAGCCUCAAGUGGCCACUAGAGGAACUGCAGCUGAUGAACUGGAAGGUCAAACGUCAAGCCCACAGCUAUAAGCUUUGAUUAUCAGUGUAAUUAUGAAUGAGAAAUAUUUUAAAAUAGUCACUACUAUAUUUGACUCUCAAGCUAUCCCUCUGACAGAUAUGCAGUGAAAACAAAUAAUGAGAUUCACCUACAACAGAAACAGUGAUUAAAUCCUUCAGUACCAGCAAGUUCCCUCUGGCAGCCAAUCAGGUGUAAGUGGGGUCAGAAGUUGGACUUUGCCUCCUGUAGGGCAGCAAAAGACGCAAACAGAGAGAAAAACUCAUUUUAUAGUUUUGAAAAACCAAAAAAAAAUUCUGGCAAACAAAAUAAAUGUUUGAUUUUAAAGCAAUUGCUAAGGUCAGUAUCAAUAAGCUGAGCUGAAUUUGAAUAAAAGCAAUCAGAGACACAUUUACCAAACAAGAAUCGAGUCUCAGGUAUGUUAUCAUACAGAUUAUGCAGUAUAUUCUGUAAUAUACAUGCUUAAUAUCACAUGGAGCCUACUGUCUGUCUGAGA